AUGGCUCGUUCGAUCAUCUACAACGGUGUCGUUUCCAGGGAAGCUUUCCUCCCCGACCAGAUUUUUGUAUUCGGCGGCUUCGUUCUGCGUGCCGACUCGAUUGGCCACCUCGAGCAGAUCGAUAGCUAUGCCCCUGGUCAUCAGAUUAGUUUCGGGAACCUAAACUAUGUCACUGAUACUCGAGGAGACUUGAUCUUCGAAGGGUUCGCGGCCCCAACCACCGCUCUGGCCUUAAAUCCAGAGCAGACUACCGGGUCCGAAGAUGGGAGUUUAGAGCCCGCUGGACUCUCUGCAAUUAUGGAGCUCGCUGCCGAAGAUCCGGGGGGGACUGCGUCAUCGGCAAGCCCGGAGUCAAACCGGGCUCCCCUUGUCAUUGAAAGGCUGGACUCACCCCCGGACACCCGCUCCGAACUCUCGAGGUCCACGUCAGGUGAGCAUAGCCAGGAGGCCCCUGCCCCGCCUAGCUCCAUGGACUCUCGCUUCCCCAUCCAAACCUCGCUUUUGAACAAGGCCCUGGACCUAAUGCGAUCCCUCGCCAUUACAGAGGAAUCACUUCCGAACUACGCUCAGCCCAGACUAGGGGCUGAAAGCGGGGAAUUUUACGUCCCACCCACCACCCACUUCGUAGCCACUGUCGAAGACUUAACCGACGUGCUCGACUACGCCUCCGAAGACAUCGACGGUAUGGACGACGAUGCCGGAGACAAACAAGGCCAGGACCCGCCGUUUAACGGAUGUUGGACGGCCACCUCCACAUAUGACAUGUAUAUGGUGGACACACCCAAAGAGGACGACGACGACGACAGGAAAGAUCCGGUUGAGGACAAGCCUGCUAAUGCACCACCAAAACAUCGACGUCAGCGGCGCCGCUCAAAAUCGCGUCGCGAUAAAGAUAGUAAUACCGGCACCGGAGACAAUAACACUCCGGAGAACGCCGAAGACCCUGAAGCCCUCGCUGAACCCACAUCCGAACAGGAUGAUCAGGAGGAGGGGCAAGUCAACCCCGACGAGCCAGUCGGCAAUGAGGAUUCAGAGGAUAGUAAUUAUCUACCACUCUCCAAGGAUGAUGUGAGCCUCGGCGACGAAGAUUUCAUCGUGCCAGAGGAACCCCUCGAGCAAGAGCGCUUCAAGUGCCAGCUAAUCGCAAUAGCGAGAAGCCUGAAAAAGUAG
rnacentral:rRNA from 1 species